rnacentral:lncRNA from 1 species
CUGGGUGAUCCCUGCCUGCCGCACUCACAGUCUGCUGUUUACAGUCCCGAAUGCAUCCAGUGGAAUGGUCCUCCCCAUCUGCAGCAUCUGGUGCAAUGUAGGAGACCCUUCAGCUUCCUCUGGACUGUUUUUCUUUUCUGUUUGUGUCCAUCUUCCUUGAUCAAACUCCAGAAGGCAUAUCCCCAAUAGUUUUCUCCAUUGUGGAGGACCUCUUCCAUAUUUUAUGUGCUAGGAUUGUGAUAUUCUGUUAUGGCAGCCCUAGCAGAUGAAUAAUACAGGUAGAAUGGUCCUCAGGUGGUCUGAAGCAGGAGAUACGGCACUUAUGGUGCUCUCUGAUGAAGCCUGAGUCAAUGGAGGAGCCCGCAGCUGCCGGGUCACUUGGUUUCAGGUUUGUGAGAGUCAGCUGAGGGACAAGAGCUCCGGGAACUUUGAAGGCACCCUCUCGAGAAAGCGUUUUCUGUCUUAAAUAUUUUCCUGCACAGGUCUGAAAUUGUAUCAGUAGAAAUUCAUGUGGGGGUCUUGAUGCCUUCUUUAGUUUUCAGCAAUCUCAUGAUAGAAUGAGAAUGUACCUGGUCACCAGGACGCUGUUGAUAGGCUGAGAAUGUGGGGUGUGGUUUCUGGAAAAGGACUGCAGGGAAGCCGGCAGUGAAGGACAGAUGGGCCAGAUCUUUAGGUUCUCUCCCUUCCAGCUUUGCCCAGGACCAGCCUGGAUGAGCUUCUCAUGGGGCUUACAGAAAGAAGGGUGUUUUGGUUCUUCCUUGAAGGCUCAGCUCUGAAGCAGAGAAGCUGACAUUAAAAUGGUGCAUGUAACAGAAAUGUGGCCUUGGAGAACCCCCAGAGGAGUUCCAGAUCAGAUCAGCUGUCUUUCAUUAAUCAGAAAUGGGCUGUAGUUCACUCCUCUAUUUGGAACAUGUCUAGCCUUCCAUCAAAAUGGCAGAAUGAGAGAAGAAUCAGUAGAGCUACAUUUUCUUGGCACUCCAAAAUGUGGAUUUCAAAACUGUUAGUUCAGAAGUGUUCAACUUUUGCUGCCCACUGGAAUUAUCUGGAGAGCUGCAAAAGGACACUGAUGCCUGGGCUGCACCUCCUAGAGGUCUUGAUUUGAUCAAUCCAAAGGAAGGCCUGGGCAGUAAAUUUUUAAAAGUUCCACAGGUAAUUCCAAGUUGGGAACCAUUGGUAGCUGGAGUAGAAGACAUUUAUUAAGUAAUGACACAAAAUGAGGUUUGGGACAAACUUUGUAUAUCAAGUGAAGAAAUUUAUCCUGUAGGUAAUGGUCAACCUUUGGGGUAGACAGAUAAGUGCCAUAAUUUUGUUAGUUUUUAAAGUGGAUUGACAUGGGGAGCAUUGAACAGCAGGCUUCAAGUGUUGCCCCCACAGUUCAUGAUCCUGCAAUUUGCAGGCUUGCUCUCAUUUCUGCAGUCGCUUUCACAUUUUGAUUCUGUCUUCCCUCCCUUGUCUCUUAAACUCUGGUAGUCUUGUUAGUAUGCCCUACUGUGGCAUCUCCAUUAAGCAUGAUUUGUUCUAUUCAGGACUUUCUCUAAGUUAUACCAUUAAAGAAGUUUCCUAAACCUCAAUAAUUGUUUGAUAAUAAAGGUAAAGCCUUAAGUCUAUUUAGUCUCUAAGUCUCUUCAGUUUUGAAUAUGUAUAUAUGUGCG